GAUGAACGCUAGCGGCAGGCCUAACACAUGCAAGUCGAGGGGUAACUAGAGUGAUAGCAAUAUUACUUUGGCUAGACCGGCGCACGGGUGCGUAACACGUAUGCAACCUACCUUAUACUGGGGAAUAACUUCGAGAAAUCGGCGCUAAUACCCCAUAACAUUGCGAAGAGGCAUCUCUUUGCAAUUAAAGCUCCGGCGGUAUAAGAUGGGCAUGCGUCCAAUUAGCUAGUUGGUGAGGUAACGGCUCACCAAGGCUACGAUUGGUAGGGGUUCUGAGAGGAUGAUCCCCCUCACUGGUACUGAGACACGCACCAGACUUCUACGGGAGGCAUCAGUGAGGAAUAUUGCGCAAUGGACGAAAGUCUGACGCAGCCAUGCCGCGUGCAGGAUGACGGCCCUAUGGGUUGUAAACUGCUUUUGUACGGGAAUAAACCCUUCUACGUGUAGGAGGCUGAAGGUACCGUAAGAAUAAGCACCGGAUAACUCCGUGCCAGCCGCCGCCGUAACAC
rnacentral:rRNA from 1 species